AGAAAAUGGAGUCUGGUAGACAUGGAUGAGAGUGGCUGGAUGAAGAAGCUGCAGGUUGAGGAUGCCCUUGCCCUCCCCACCCCACUUCAGCUGGACCUAAGGAGCCGGAGGCAGGGAGGAGGACCAACAGAUGAACGGAUGACCUGCUUGUCGGGCUUCCCAUUACUUAUUUUAAAAAAAACGGAGUCUGGAUGACUCCGGAACAAAGGAGCCGGAAGCAGGAAGGAGGACCAACAGAUGAACGGAUGACCUGCUUGUCGGGCUUCCCAUUCCUGAGUUUGAAAUAAUGAAGCCUGGAUGAUAGUAGCUAGGUGAAGAAGCUUCUGGUUGAGGAUGACCUUGCCCUCCCCAUCCCACUUCAGCUGGAUCUAAGGAGCCGGAAGAAGGAAGGACCAACAGAUGAGCGUUGACUCUGCUUAUUGAACUGCCGUUUGAGAAUUUGUGAGGUAGAUUUACUAAACCAAAAUUAGAGGUCACACAUUGAUGUAAAAAGGAGGACAAUGCCUGGAGCAUUGCCUUCACAGCUACAAUCCUGAAACAAAGUGCAAGAGUUUGUAAAGGACAUGGAUAAGGAAGCACAUUUUACACAAGAACAUAUAAAAAUAAAUGAAAGUCUCUUUUACUUUGUUCCUAGCCAAAUAGGAAUUGUUACUUAUGUGACCUAGUUUGCCUAGGCCGAGAAGCUUUUUUUAUUUUACAGGGUGGAGAUUGUCAUAGGAAACAUCUCAAGCCAUUACUUCAGGAGAAUGAAAGAUGUCUGGCAACCGGAAGCAGGAAACUACUGAUGAGUCUACUUGCUCAACAUGACAUCUGUGAUACAUGAGAUUCGCCAAGAUGUUAGCCAUCAACGACAUAGGAAGAUGGCUUGCCGGCUACCGCUGCCAAGCCCACUACUUACCAGAACAAGAAAUUAAUUAAAACCACCAGCCCCCACCCCUUACCAGAACAAGAAAUUGAUAAAAAUUCACUGCAACAAAUGAAAUUAGAAUAUAAUCCCUGACUUUGGACUAAGUACAUUUUUUAAGGCUAUGGGACACCCCCAUCCUGCCUAGUUGAAUCAGCCUGCCUCAUGCACUAACAAAACGGUGCUCAAACCUUUGAGAAUUCUUUUCAGACAAAAAUCAUCAAGACAUGGAAAUGACACUGUGCUUAUGUUGUUGCUUUUGUUUGCAUGUUCGCAUGAUUUCACUGUUCCAUUUUGGCAUGUGUUGUUCCUGCAUGUUUUAAUAUCAUAUCGCACCUUUUUGAUUUCAAGAAGCAAAAAGAUAACCACAGUGUAUGGCCAUAGUCUGACAAUUAUUACAUUCAAAAAUUCUAACAUAUUAAUCUAAAUUUAAAUAAUUCAAAAUAGUUAAAAUGCCAUCAACAUCACUUCAAUGCGUCAUUAUUUUGAUGGGGGGGGGGGGGGGUCAUCCCGUAGCCUUUGUCUCCCUUUCGCACCUUAUUCUUUGAUGUCACCAAAAAAAAUCUGACAAAAAAAUUAAAAGAAAUGGCCCCCUCCUCAUUCUUGAAACAUUUUUUUCAGGGGAUUGGCUUUUUAGUUGGAAAGCCUCCCUUUUAAAAAUGAAAAACACUUAUUUGUUAAAGCAUUUGAAUAAUUGUCUGCAGUAAGGUUUCUACUAUCGUUUUCCUUAACUUACUAUUGUCUUUCGUAAAUCAAAUGACGAUGUUAACGAAUACAUCUGAGGAAGAAGCCACUGGUUGAGGACGACAUUGCACUCCCCGUCCCAGGAAACCGGAAGCAGGGAGGAGGACCAACAGAUGAACUGAUGAUUCUGCAGUGAGCUAGCCAUUUCUGAUUUUCAAGAAGCGAGGAUGAGUCUUGGAUUGAUGAAGACUUGGAGAUGUUGUUUGUUGAUUUGACACACCCCAACCAUCACAGACGUACCUUAGGACCCAGAAGCAGGGAGGAGUGAGGACCGACAGAUGAACUGAAGACCCUACUUACUGAGCUAGUCAUAUCUGAUUUUCAAGACCUGGAAAGUCUGUCUGUUAACUUGACACCUGAAACCAUCAUCACGGAUGACCGAGGAACCGGAAGCAGGGAGGAAGAACGACAGAAGAACGGAAGACCCUGCUUACUGGGCUCUCCAUUUCUAAUAUUUUAGAAAAUGGAGCCAGUCAUACCUGCAUGAAAGUGGCUAGAUGAAGACGCUUCUGGUUGAGGCUGACUUUGCCCUCCUCAUUCCACUUCUGCUGACGCUAAGGAGGAGGAAGCAGGGAAGAGAACCAACAGAGGACUAUGGACUCUGCUUGCUGAGCUUGCUAGGAAUCCACUACAAACUUAGAAACUUUGACAGUGUCUGACACACUUCUUUAUGGAGUGAAACCCCCAUCGAAGAAUUGGGCAAGAAACUUCAUUAUAAUUGAAAGAAAUAUUUGAACAGUCAAUGACAUUCCUAGAGAUGAGAUGAACAUAAAUGGCAACAUCUGGAACGAACGAAGUCGGAAGGCUGAAAAGGCUUUAUGCCUGAUAUAUUUUAUCGUUGAAUCGUCAAUGACAUUCCAAGAAAAUAUCAUUCAGUAAAGACGAACUGCAACGAACAAAAGUCACACUACUUGGAAUAUUAUCCUGAAGCCUUAAAUUAGGUUUAUCAUAAGUCUACGGUAAAAAUUAAAACACGACUGCUGAUAAAAUGUUAAAUUCCAGG